GACGAACGCUGGCGGCAUGCCUAACACAUGCAAGUCUAGGGGUAGCAAUACCACUGGCGCACGGGUGAGUAACACGUAGGUUAUCUGCCCCCAUCACAGACAUAACCCCGGGAAACCCGGGGGCGUAAUAAUCUGAUGAGGUCGCGAGAUCAAAGCUUCGGCGGGAUGGGGAGUGAGCCUGCGGCUGAUUAGCUAGUUGGUGAGGUAAUGGCUCACCAAGGCGACGAUCAGUAGCUGGUCUGAGAGGACGAACAGCCACACUGGAACUGAGACACGGUCCAGACUCCUACGGGAGGCAGCAGUGAGGAAUAUUGGUCAAUGGGAGGCAAUCCUGAACCAGCAAUGCCGCGUGUGGGAUGACAGGGCUUCGCC
rnacentral:rRNA from 1 species